UUACGUAAACUAAUAACACUUAAGAGUAAUAACUACGUUACUUAUCGACUAUGUGAAUAAUUGUGCCGCUCAUUUAAAUCCUGUUUUAACCUUUCAGCAAGGCUGUUUUGCCAAAAUUCAUCCUCAUAACUAAUUUUCAAUGAACUAGGACUACAUUCAUUUAUUGGUGUGUUCUGGAGAAACUCUCCUGCACAUGUUGUGUCCAAAACUGUUUUGUUUGUAUCUCGAGCAUGUUUGCUCUUUCCACUGGCGUCCUCUCUUCAUAAUAAUAAGCAUCUUAUACACCUUCAAGUUUGAACAAUAGGAACCUUGGGAGCAUUUGGAGUUAUGGCAACUCCGGAUUCUGCUCAUACCAGAGAAUAGCCAGUAGCAGAUUUAAUUGCUCGUGUCUAGCCGUCUCCUACUUUCACGUCUCGAGUCUCCGCUCUUCCUUUAUUCAAAAUUUUAAGCCUUCAUAUUGUUUGAUACAUGCUAUUUAUAUUAUUUGACUAACACUCUUGUGAAUUUGUAUUUUUUGUAGUUUUGUUGUGAACUCGUAACUCGACUUAUGUUAGUAAGUGUAGUCAUUAUCUUUCCUGC